CCUACGGGAGGCAGCAGUGGGGAAUAUUGCACAAUGGGGGAAACCCUGAUGCAGCAACGCCGCGGGAGUGAGGAAGUAUUUCGGGAUGUAAAGCUCUAACAGCAGGGAAUAGAAAAGAAGGUGACUGAAAAAGAAGCCCCGGCUAACGACGUGCCAGCAGCCGCGGUAAUACGUAGGGGGCAAGCGUUAUCUGGAUUUACUGGGUGUAAAGGGAGCGUAGACUGAAAGGCAAGUCAGAAGUGAAAGCCCAAGGCUCAAACAUGGGUCUGCGUUUGAAACUGUCAAAAUAGAGUACGGGAGAGGUAAGAGGAAUUGCUAGUGUAGCGGUGACAUGCGUAGCUAUUAGGAGGAACACCAGUGGCGAAGGCGUCUUACUGGACCGAAACUGACGUUGAGGCUCGAAAGCGUGGGGAGCAAACAGGAUUAGAUACCCUUGUAGUC
rnacentral:rRNA from 1 species